GAUGAAGAACGUAGCGAAAUGCGAAAAGUAAUGUGAAUUGCAGAAUUCAGUGAACCAUCGAAUCUUUGAACGCACAUUGCGCCCGCUGGAACUCCGGCGGGCACGCCUGUCCGAGCGUCAUUUCAACCCUCAGGCCCCCCUUCGCGGGCGGGCCUGGUGUUGGGGUCCGGCCGCUACCCUGCGGCCGUCCCCUAAAUUCAGUGGCGGCCUCGCCGUGAUCCCUUGCGUAGUAAUGCACCUCGCACCGGAGAGCGCCGUGGCCACGCCGUAAAACCCCCAAUUUUCAAUGGUUGACCUCGGAUCAGGUGGGAAUACCCGCUGAACUUAAGCAUAUCAAUAAGCGGAGGA
rnacentral:misc_RNA from 1 species